CAGAGAGUUUGAUCAUGGCUCAGAAUGAACGUUGGCGGCGUGGAUUAGGCAUGCAAGUCGUACGCAUAGCUUCGGCUAUGAGUGGCGCAAGGGUGAGUAAUGCGAAGGUAACCAACCCUGGUGUUGGGCAUAGCCGCGGGAAACUGCGGGUAAUUCCCAGCGACGUCACGAGAUGGCAUCAUCUUGUGACCAAAGGUGUGAUUCCGCUCUAGGACGGGCCUUCGUGGUAUUAGGUAGUUGGUGAGGUAACGGCUCACCAAGCCGACGAUGCCUACCGGGUGUGAGAGCAUGACCCGGCACACUGGAACUGAGACACUGUCCAGACACCUACGGGUGGCUGCAGUCGAGAAUCUUCGGCAAUGGGCGAAAGCCUGACCGAGCGACGCCGCGUGAGGGAUUGAAGGCCUUCGGGUUGUAAACCUCUUUCGUAGAGGAGGAAGGGGCCGUGAAGAACGAUCUUUGACCUAUUCUAGGAAGAAGCUUGGGCUAAGUUCGUG
rnacentral:rRNA from 1 species